UGGGGUGGAUAAUUAAUUUUUUUUUUAAUUUUAAUAGAAAUGUCUGUUAGACAAACUGCCUAACUCCAAUAUCCCCACCACCACCACCACCCCCAAGGGUUUGUCUCCUAUGGAUGCAUUCCGGACUGUCCUUCAGGAUAUACUCCAGCAAGUAAGGAAGGAAAAUACGUUUGAGCUUGGCGUAAUCGCAAUGAAUAUGAAGGGAGAAGCCGGAGCUGCUUAAUCAGUACCAUUUUGAUACUGCAUGUGGUCUCAGGGAAAGGACUCCAUAGAAGAAUUAGUGCAACAACCCUACUAGAGAUGAAAAAAUACAUUAAAAGAUAAUUCUUCUGUGUUAUACAGGGCAGAUUGUGAACCCCUUACUCGCAAUGGUGAGCAGUACAAUUAGUCCCAUUAAGACCCAAAAGGAACUGUUUGGCACUCCUGAAAAUUCAUCU
rnacentral:lncRNA from 1 species